CGUACCAAAUCCAAUCAAACUGCGAAUACCAUCACUUAAGAGUUCGGGAGUGAGACUGCGGGAGAGAAGUUUCGUAGUCGAGAGGGAAAGAGCCCAGACCCACAGCUAAGGUCCCAAAGACAUGCUGAGUGUGGCAAGGAUGUGACGAUGCCCGGACAGCCAGGAGGUUGGCUCAGAAGCAGCCAUCCUUUAAAGAGUGCGUAAUAGCUCACUGGUCGAGGAUUGUUGCGCCGAAAAUACAGGGGGCUAAGCAUGUCACCGAAGCUUGGGGAUUGGAUUUAAGUCCGAAUCGGUAGGGGAGCGUUCCAUGUAGGGAGAAGUCAAACCGGCGAGGUUUGGUGGACAGCAUGGAAGUGAGAAUGCCGGCAUGAGUAACGCGAAGUGUGUGAGAAUCACACUCACCGGAAGUCCAAGGGUUCCUGGGGAAGGUUGAUCCGCCCAGGGUAAGGCGGGGCCUAAGGUAAGGCCGAGAGGCGUAGCUGAUGGACAACAGGUUGCUAAUCCUGUCCCGCGAAGCGGUUGAUUGACGAUGGAGUGACGCAGGAAGCUAGGUGCGCCGGCGGAUGGAAUAGCCGGUCUAAGGGCGAAGCCUGGACGGGGAGGCAAAUCCCCCUGUUUAUAGGUGAGACCUGAUGGGGAGUUUUCAGAGAUGGAGACGAAGGCAUUGACGCUCUACUGCCGGGAAAAGCUUCUAAGGAGACUGCUCGCGCCCGUACCCGAAACCGACACAGGUGGACUGGCUGAGAAGGCUAAGGUGAGCGGGAGAACUAUCGUUAAGGAACUCUGCAAGUUGACCCCGUAACCUAGGGAGAAGGGGUGCCAUGAGGGUGAAGAAGGACAUUUGGAGCCCGAAGUGGUCGCAGAAACCAGGCACAGGCGACUGUUUACUAAAAACACAGGACUCUGCAUAAGGCGUAAGCCGAAGUAUAGGGUCUGACACCUGCCCGGUGCUGGAAGGUUAACUGGAGGGGUUAGUGCCGCGAGGUGCGAAGCUCUGAAAUGAAGCCCCAGUAAACGGCGGCCGUAACUAUAACGGUCCUAAGGUAGCGAAAUUCCUUGUCGGGUAAGUUCCGACCUGCACGAAAGGUGUAACGAUCUGUGCGCUGUCUCGACGGUAGACCCGGUGAAAUUGUGGUCCUGGUAAAGACGCCAGGUACCCGUGGUGGGACGGAAAGACCCCAUGGAGCUUUACUGUAACUUAGUAUUGAAUUUUGUCCUACGAUGCACAGGAUAGGUGGGAGGCAUUGAGAGUGGGAUUUUGGUUCCAUUUGAGCCGCCGUUGGGAUACCACCCUUUGUAUGAUGAAAUUCUAACCCGGAGGCGUUGAAGCACGCGCGGGGACAUUGCUAGGCGGGCAGUUUGACUGGGGCGGUCGCCUCCCAAAGAGUAACGGAGGCGCGCAAAGGUCACCUCAGGGCGAAUGGAAACCGCCCUAAGAGAGCGUAAGCGUAUAAGGUGGCUUGACUGCGAGACUGACGGGUCGAGCAGGGACGAAAGUCGGUUCUAGUG
rnacentral:rRNA from 1 species